rnacentral:pre_miRNA from 1 species
AAUAAACCAAUCUUUCACUUUUUAACUAUAAUAUUUGACGCUUUAUCUUAUUAAAAAAAUUUUACAAUUAAUAUUUUUGUUUUUAUUAGAUGAUAAAUCAUAAAUAGUACUUUAUGUGUGACUAAUUUUUUUUCAAUUUCAUGAAAGUUUUUCAAAUAAGACGGAUGGUCAAACGCCGGACAGAGAUAAUCAAAAAUUGGUUUAUU